CGGGAUAACGUCCCGUAUGAAAAGGAAUGUAGCCCUCUUUGGGCCGAACCUUAGG
ncrna:unclassified sequences eL15-Euryarchaeota ribosomal protein leader